rnacentral:tRNA from 1 species
GUCGGCCGGGCCGCCGGGGGUGACGGCCGGGGUGUUCUUGGCACCGCUGGGGGCGAUCUUGGCGCCCGCGCCGGUG